AUGUUAAGACAAUUCUUUUAUCUGCUUUUUCCCAAGGAUAUAGUUUUAUCCUUUAAGGCACGGCAGCAAGGAAGCUUCCAGAUGUCCAUGAUUUUAGAUGUUUUAGGCCAUGUGGUGCAUGAGAGCAGUGACAACUUGGAUGUUACUGAAAUUCGCAGCUUUCACACUAUCACUCUUCAAGUUUCUGCUGUUUGCCACAGUGAGACUAAACAACCUGUACCAAAUCUUAAUUCUGGUAUCACUCCAGCUAUUUCAAAUCCAUCUGGACUAUGGCCUUAUGUUCCGUGCAGCAGCUUGGCUCGUUGUUGUGGGAUGGUGCAUGCUGCCAUACUUUGCGCCAACAAAACACAACUCCACGCACAUCACAGGGAGAAGGGUCAAGACAUGGAGGAGUUCCUCGCUUUUCCAAAUGAUCGAGCAUCUAGCAUCAGGCCGCCCUCUUCACCGACACAGUACAGGUAAAGGUUACAGAAACGGUCCAGUGUUCCAGCUCUUGUUCUGCUCUUGGUAACAGUAGUCUGUAUUUAUUCAAUCACCAGUAUUUAAAUGUAACUUAAAGUUAAGUAAAAGGACAGAGCCUUCACUUUGAUGGCUCUGUCUGCUGGAGCCCUCGGGGAACUGGCGAUCUCCCAAAGUUGCUCAUACCUAGCCACAUACAAAUACAUUCAGUGUCAGGGAGUGCGUGAUGCAGGACCCACAUGCAUAGCCGAUGACAGAAUUAACCAGAGUGUCAGUUUAUUAAUGAACAGUUUCUCAAAAACGGCAUACAAAACUCAGUGUCAGGCAAGCUAUGGCCAUUCACAGGAGAUCAGACUACAGGCAACGGUACCGACAGGUAGUAGGCAAAGACAGGUGAGUACGAAAACGAGACUUACUUGGACCGGAACAGGAGAAAAAACGCUGGACUGGGGUGAUUACGCGCUACGAUCUAGCAGAGAACUGAGGUGCAAACUGGGAACUAAAUACGCUGAGAUAAUUACUAAACAGAAACAGCUGACGGGGCACGUGAUCAUAAAAGUAAAGUGAGAACUGAAAACUGGGGCCUGGGGUUGAGGCCAGUUGUGGUGGAAGCGGCUCGGGAGGUGCUUCGGUCCCUGCCUGGGGCCACAUGGGCGGCAGGCGGAGACCUACCCCCCCCAUGAAUGAGAUCAAGCGAAUGGUGUGGGUGUGAGGAUGUAUACGAGAGUGCCUGGGUUCACGUAUGAUUGACUAGUUCUUUGUGAGAGGGUUUGUGGUAGUGCGCGUUAAUGUACGUGUGGGUGUGCGUCUGUGUGAGUGUGUAUGCAUGUGGUGCAGUUGGAGUGUGGGGGGGUCCCGUUUUCGACCCGGGGUACUUGGACCCGCUGCCUGGGUGGUCUCCUCUGCUGACCCCCACCAAUUGCUGGCUGCUGCGGGCCCGAUGUGGUGCCAGGGGAUUUGAUGGGGCCGAUGGGGUAGGCCCGCUCCGCUCGUGUGGGGGUGGUGCACUGGGGGUGGGCCCCACUCUGGGCGCAGGGGCAUCACCUGGUGAGCUCCCUACGAACCGUGGGUCCUGAGUCUCCAUUCUCUCAGGCCGACCCUACCACUGGGUGGGGGGAAUGUUUGCCCCUGGUUCUCAUGGGGCAGACAGCGUUGACCCACGGUGGCCCACUCUGACCUCGGGUGCUGUCUCUGUGGCUGCUGCAGCUCUGCCUGGGGGGCUCUGUGUGGGCGGCUAGGGUCGCAACACCUGCCCUCCUGGAACUGAAGGUGUGUGGGCUCCCUGGCUGCUAGGAUUCUUUCCUUUGCUCGUUGGAUGGGCGUAGUGGCCGAGCCCCUCACAUCACCCUGGCUUCCACAAGUGGCAUUGUUUAAGCACCAACGUCUGUCUCACCCUUUGGGUGAACAAUGUUAAGCUACAGCUUUACUAACCUUGUAGUGGGACACUCAACACCUUAGCUGAUAAACAGGCUUUCUAAACACAACUGUAAGUAUUACUGAUACUUAUCACUACCAAGAUCAAUAAUGUGUAAAUAUGGAAAUUGUGAUGUUGUAUUUCAUGGCUAUUAUAAAGUAAUAUGAGAUUAUGUAUAAUAAUGCAAAUGUGUAUGUAUAUGGUAUAUGUAUAUGUUUGUAUGAAUAUGUGCAGAUACCUUAACACUAUUAUUGGUAUUAGUAUUAAUCUCAAAGGUAAACCACAAUACAGCAGUUGUUUAGUUAUGAUGUGUCAGCCUAAGGUACAUCCCCACUUAUUUAUUUUGCACUGAUUGUUUGCUUAACUGAUAUGCUUGAUUUGACAGCUGGUGAAAUAUUCCUCUUGUAAAAGCAAAACUGUCUAUCACAAUACGGCAUUCAGCCUAAUACAUGCUGCUUGUUGAACUGCUGGACAGAAUAAACAAACAAAAGACGCUGUCA
ensembl:lncRNA